ACUUAAUCAACCAAUGUGUAUUUCAUAUGUAAUAAAGUUUUUAUUAAUUCCGUCUCUUUGGUAUUUUAACCAAUUAUGGUAUUCGUUAUCGAAUUCGAAUGAACAAUUGAAUUUGUGUUAUGCCCAUUUACGUUAAAUUAGGUAUUUAUUUACCACUUAAUUGAUUUAACACGUAAUAAUUAUGUGUCUUCAUCAAAGGUUAAAGACUAUCAUUUUGUUUUAAUUCUUAUUCUUUCGUUAUUUUAACUGGUAUAGAAUUCGAGAUAAUUCAGUUGAUUCUAUAUACCAUGUUCAAUGUUGUGCUUCACCAAGUACACCUUAUAUACGAGCACGUUAUCAUGGAACUUUAUUUCCGAUCGACUCCGGAUAUUUUAGGUCGUGUUCCAUCUUAAACCGAAUUUGAAUACCCCCUCCCCAUGUUUUAGCUUAUUCAUUGAAUAGCAAUCAUGAAUCGGCACAUUCAUAUGUAACAAACAAAUAACGGAUUUCCGAAUGACGUCACAGAGCAAUUGCGCAAUGAUAGAAAGCAGUUGGUAAAGUUAGAACAGAAACUCAUUUUACACCAAACUAAAAUACCCACAAAAUUUUAUCAACGUUUUACAUUGUAUUUUUUCGGUGUCCGAAACACAACAAAGAAAAUCAAAGCAAUUAAAAUUCGCCAGUGCUUCCUUUUGUAUUUUAUUAUCCGAUACAAAUGUAGUUAAAUGCAUUCGCCGACUUUACGCUAAAGCCACCUUGGGCUUAAACAAACGCAACCUAAGACGCGUGAGCUACACCAGUAAUUCAAUGGCGAAUGUCUAAGUGACCAUCAGUUCCACACCUGCUUUUUACGACCAGAGACACGGUUUCAUUUCGCCAGGUGCGAGCCUUAAACUUCCUUUUGUGCUGCGAUUGUUACGUCUCAAUAAUCUAUUGUUUCGUAACAAUUGUAAGUCCAUUGAUAUUUGUUCGGGUUAAUAUGACGUCACAAGCGAUCUAUUUUUACGGCACAAUAGCAAGAUGAUUUUUCGAUCAAAUAAUCAGCAAACGCGAAAUUCCCGCUUUUCGUUGAUUACUGAUAAAUUUUCGCACCAAACACGCAGCAUUGGGAACCACAGACGAACUCCCACGCUGUAGGUUUCGCCAGCUUAGAUUAUGUUGCAACACCAACGUUUCAAGGCGUGAGUUUAGCGACAAACUUAGGGGUCAAGAAGUUUACUCAAGUUGAGUGGAGAACCAUCUUUAAACCAGGUUUGAUUCCUACUUUGAUACGCUGCCUAGUAAACAUGUUAUUUACCUAUUAGAUGCCACUUGUCGGUGUACAAAGAGGUUUUAUAUUCACACAAGUAAAAUGUUACUCUCCCAUAAGGUUUAUACGAGCUACAUGCAAUCGUAUCAAACUGUCGAGUGCGCAUGCGGUAUCCGAUGACACCUUACACCACAGUCCCAUGAGACAGAUCUGUCGAUGCGAGCUUGUGUGGCAACCGUCAUCAACAAAGUUACAACUUCAAACAACCUACGUUUCCGUCACGUGGUCUGUCCGUCAUGCCUGACUGCACAACACAAUGUCGCUUCUUCCGACAAACUUUUUGAAGUCGAUUCUCAAACGGAUAUGAUUUCAUAAACGAUGAGAACGCGUUGAUACUAGAACGUAUCGAUCUCAAACAAUUCUGUUCUAUAUGGGUGAGGUUCAAUACCCGCAAGGAAACAUACGACGAAGGUUAGAAAUUGAUCCAUUAUCCCUAUAGUUAUUAAUUUUCGUUAGCGU